CCCGUUCGGUAAAUUUAGUCGUUUGAGGAGGGGCGGAGGGAGGGGAGUUGCUAGGAGCAAAUGGAUGAAUCAUUAAUUUUUUUUCGGAUGUUCUCGAGGAAAAGUCGGAUAUACAAAGCGUACAUAGAACGUAUAAUAUAGAUCCUGUAUAACUUGGUGGAAUCGAGCCAUUUAUUUUGCCGGAAUCUUGGCGAAAGCGCAGUAGCCGCGUGUCGUGGCGGUCCCGCAGCGAAUCCCACAGUAGAAUUUCGACGGUGCGAAAAAGAUACAUUUGUUAAAGCAUCACGAAAACGUAUCCAAUCUAUUUAAUGAAAUCCGGCGCAAGAAUGCACAAAAG